rnacentral:rRNA from 1 species
AGUGAACGCUGGCGGUAGGCCUAACACAUGCAAGUCGAACGGCAGCACAGUAAGAGCUUGCUCUUACGGGUGGCGAGUGGCGGACGGGUGAGGAAUACAUCGGAAUCUACUUUUUCGUGGGGGAUAACGUAGGGAAACUUACGCUAAUACCGCAUACGACCUACGGGUGAAAGCAGGGGAUCUUCGGACCUUGCUCGAUUGAAUGAGCCGAUGUCGGAUUAGCUAGUUGGCGGGGUAAAGGCCCACCAAGGCGACGAUCCGUAGCUGGUCUGAGAGGAUGAUCAGCCACACUGGAACUGAGACACGGUCCAGACUCCUACGGGAGGCAGAAGUGGGGAAUAUUGGACAAUGGGCGCAAGCCUGAUCCAGCCAUACCGCGUGGGUGAAGAAGGCCUUCGGGUUGUAAAGCCCUUUUGUUGGGAAAGAAAAGCAGCAGGUUAAUACCCCGCUGUUCUGACGGUACCCAAAGAAUAAGCACCGGCUAACUUCGUG